rnacentral:rRNA from 1 species
GACGAACGCUGGCGGCGUGCCUAAUACAUGCAAGUUGAGCGCUGAAGGUUGGUACUUGUACCAACUGGAUGAGCAGCGAACGGGUGAGUAACGCGUGGGGAAUCUGCCUUUGAGCGGGGGACAACAUUUGGAAACGAAUGCUAAUACCGCAUAAAAACUUUAAACACAAGUUUUAAGUUUGAAAGAUGCAAUUGCAUCACUCAAAGAUGAUCCCGCGUUGUAUUAGCUAGUUGGUGAGGUAAAGGCUCACCAAGGCGAUGAUACAUAGCCGACCUGAGAGGGUGGUCGGCCACCUUGGGACUGAGACCCGGCCCCAACCCCUACGGGAGGCAGCAGUAGGGAAUCUUCGGCCAUGGACGAAAGUCUGACCGAGCAACGCCGCGUGAGUGAAGAAGGUUUUCGGAUCGUAAAACUCUGUUGGUAGAGAAGAACGUUGGUGAGAGUGGAAAGCUCAUCAAGUGACGGUAACUACCCAGAAAGGGACGGCUAACUACGUG